rnacentral:rRNA from 1 species
AUUGAACGCUGGCGGCAUGCCUUACACAUGCAAGUCGAACGGCAGCAUGAUCUAGCUUGCUAGAUUGAUGGCGAGUGGCGAACGGGUGAGUAAUACAUCGGAACGUGCCCUGUAGUGGGGGAUAACUAGUCGAAAGAUUAGCUAAUACCGCAUACGACCUGAGGGUGAAAGUGGGGGACCGCAAGGCCUCAUGCUAUAGGAGCGGCCGAUGUCUGAUUAGCUAGUUGGUGGGGUAAAGGCUCACCAAGGCGACGAUCAGUAGCUGGUCUGAGAGGACGAGCAGCCACACUGGGACUGAGACACGGCCCAGACUCCUACGGGAGGCAGCAGUGGGGAAUUGUGGACAAUGGGGGCAACCCUGAUCCAGCCAUGCCGCGUGAGUGAAGAAGGCCUUCGGGUUGUAAAGCUCUUUCGGCCGGGAGGAAAUCGCACAGGUUAAUACCCUGUGUGGAUGACAGUACCGGAAUAAGAAGCACCGGCUAACUACGUGCCAGCAGCCGCGGUAAUAC